rnacentral:rRNA from 1 species
GAUUAAGUUAUUAAGGGCGCACGGUGGAUGCCUUGGCACUAGAAGCCGAUGAAGGACGUUACUAACGACGAUAUGCUUUGGGGAGCUGUAAGUAAGCUUUGAUCCAGAGAUUUCCGAAUGGGGAAACCCAGCAUGAGUUAUGUCAUGUUAUCGAUAUGUGAAUACAUAGCAUAUCAGAAGGCACACCCGGAGAACUGAAACAUCUUAGUACCCGGAGGAAGAGAAAGAAAAUUCGAUUCCCUUAGUAGCGGCGAGCGAAACGGGAAGAGCCCAAACCAACAAGCUUGCUUGUUGGGGUUGUAGGACACUCUAUACGGAGUUACAAAGGACGACAUUAGACGAAUCAUCUGGAAAGAUGAAUCAAAGAAGGUAAUAAUCCUGUAGUCGAAAAUGUUGUCUCUCUUGAGUGGAUCCUGAGUACGACGGAGCACGUGAAAUUCCGUCGGAAUCUGGGAGGACCAUCUCCUAAGGCUAAAUACUC